rnacentral:rRNA from 1 species
CCUACGGGAGGCAGCAGUCUAGAGGCUUCGCAAUGGGGGAAACCCUGACGAAGCAACGCCGCGUGGAGGAUGAAGGCCUUCGGGUCGUAAACUCCUGUCGACCGGGAAGAAUGCACCCGACCUAACACGUCGAAGUGUUGACUGUACCGGUGGAGGAAGCCACGGCUAACUCUGUGCCAGCAGCCGCGGUAAUACAGAGGUGGCAAGCGUUGUUCGGAAUUACUGGGCGUAAAGGGCGCGUAGGCGGCCCGCCAAGUCCCGUGUGAAAGCCCCCGGCUCAACCGGGGAACGGCGCGGGAAACUAGCAGGCUUGAGUUCGGGAGAGGGAAGCGGAAUUCCGGGUGUAGCGGUGAGAUGCGCAGAUAUCCGGAGGAACACCAGUGGCGAAGGCGGCUUCCUGGCCUGUUCUUGACGCUGAGGCGCGAAAGCUAAGGGAGCAAACGGGAUUAGAUACCCCGGUAGUCCUAGCCGUAAACGAUGGACACUAGGUGUUGGUGGUAUCAACCCCGCCAGUGCCGAAGCUAACGCAUUAAGUGUCCCGCCUGGGGGGAGUACGGCCGCAAGGCUAAAACUCAAAGGAAUUG